rnacentral:rRNA from 1 species
GAAUGCAUGAGCCCGGAGAUGGAAGCUGAGACAAGGUUCCAGGCCGUACGGGGCGCAGCAGGCGCGAAACCUCCGCAAUGCGAGCAAUCGCGACGUUACGACCCCAAGUGCCACUCUUAACGCCGUGGCUAAUCUGAAGUGUAUAUAAGCUUUAGGAAUAACCGCUGGGCAAGACCGGUGCCAGCCGCCGCGGUAACACCGGCAGCUCAAGUGGUGGCCAUUGCUAUUGGGCCUAAAGCGUUCGUAGCCGGUUUGAUAAGUCUCUGGUGAAAUCCCGCAGCUUAACUGUGGGACUUGCUGGAGAUACUAUUAGACUUGAGGUCGGGAGAGGUUAGCUGUACUCCCAGGGUAGG